CUGAUGGGGGACACGGGGUGGGGGCCACCCGCAUCCUUGCCAGCUGUGCACGCAGGUCAGACGUCUGACCCAUGUCCAGUUCGUCUUCGCCAGCAGAGACCUCAGCCUUCAAGCCUCUGGCUCCGUCCAGGAAGCACAGAGCCUUCUUGGUAAGAGGACUGGUUGAGGAGGUGUCACACAUCUUUGGAGAAUGUUUCUUAACUUUUACAGUGGCUGGGGGAAAUUAGUGCAGUUCUGCCCACUUGAAUUGAAAAAAGUGUUUUUGGUUGUUGAUAGUUUUUAUUUAUUUCUGCACCUCUCUCUGGGUCAGGCCCCAGGGGUCCACAGCACUGACCACUGUGUGGCCUUGGCAAGCACUGGGGGGUAUCUUCAAGGGCUGUCAGAGUCCUGAGAGGUGCCUCCAGGUCCAGAGGCCACGUGUCAGGGCAGGCGGCAGUGGGGUGGAGCUGGUGUGCUCUUACCACCGACUGGUGAGAAGGUUUGUUUUUUACAUCCCAUCAGACACUCUCUGUAGAAGGCACUAAGUAUAUUUUCAUUUAACUGAUUUCCUGUUCUUCAAGGCUGGGUAAGCUCUGACAGUGAGAGAAACGUUUUGCCCUUUUUUCUUCUACCCAAAACCUUCCCCAAAUUUAAUGCUGAAUACUUGUGUGAGCCCCUUCAUUUGUGAAAAUAAAAGCUAGAAAUCUCCUCUUUGAUGAUGGUUGCACAACAAUAUAAAUACACUUAACAGACAUAACUAUACAGUUAAACAGGGUUAAAAUGAUAAAUUUUAUGUAUACUUUAUCACAGCUUUUAAACUGGGGGAAAAUGUUUUCCCCUUUGAAAGUAAGGAGCAAGCUGAGACUGUUGAAAUCCUCUAUCUGUGCUGCACCCACUUUAGUGGCCAGUCCUGUGCCGCUCGCAGGGUCCACUCCCACCUCCUCAUGUCCUCCCCCUCUGUCACUCUUCCUGUGCACUUUGGCUGCCCACGAUUGCUCUUCUGCCUGAAGUGAUCGGAGUAGAAAAGAGUUUUUCAAGUUAAGGAAUUUCUUCUUUUCUACUUCUAGAGGAUCAGUCAUCAGUUGAUAGCGUAAUAUUUAACAGUCGAAUUAGCAGAAAUCAGUAUUUACGCAAUAAGGAAAUUUUCUGUUUGUAGACAUUAAAAUUGCUUAUAAAUAGACUUUAUUUGUGUGACUGAUUUUGCUGAGAAAAACACCAGAAGAUGUCCCCUUCUAUAAGAUGGAAGGGUGACCAGCAAAAACAACCCAGUGCUCAUGAACAAAAAUAUUUGCAGCUUAUGUAGGUAAUACCUGUGGCUCAGCUGAUAAAGAAUCCGCCUGCAAUGCGGGAGAUCUGGGUUCAAUCCCUGAGUUGGAAAGAUCCCCUGGAGAAGGGAAAGGCUACCCACUCCAGUAUUCUAGUCUGGAGAAUUCCAUGGACUGUAUAGUCCGUGGGGUAGCAAAGAGUCGGACACGACUGAGCAACUUUCACUUUUAUGUAGGUAAUACCCACUAAGCACUGGGACCCCUGAACCAUCAUCCCCUUAAGGGACGGAGUCACUGUGAACUUCUACCCUCUUCUGGGUGCUGGUGACGCAGGGUCAGGAAAGCUUCCCCUUUGUGGAAGGUUCACCUAUUUUAUUCAGCAUUUCUAAGAAUUCUGCCACAUAAGCAUUUUCAGAUCACCUAGUUUGACCAGAAAAAAAGACUUCUUUCAUAGUACACGAGAAAACUGAGCAAAGAAAAUAUCACUUUGUCAUGCAGUCCCACAUUGCUCAUUCUGUCUCAUUUUAAGAGCCAUGAUUAAUUCUAAUUGGUCCUUAUGUCAUAUUUUCUGAACAAAUUAUCAGUUUCUGUUACACUCAGUAGAAGAAUUUCAAAUGAAUGAGCCUGCUCAGCCGACUGAGGAGUCUGAGGGGUGGUAGAUAACACGCCUGUACUUCUGCAAAGGCUGCAGAAAACUCAAGUGAGCUGCCCUGUAUCUGUAUGUCUAUACAUUAUUCACCCCUGCUGCACCACACCCCCCACCCAUUUCAUCAGGGGACAGCUAGUGGAGAUCAGUUAGUGUCUCCAGAGAGAACCAAGAUCUCCAGACGAGCAGUGAGUCCCACACAACUGCAUGGUAAGCUGAGGUGUCCCGGUGUGUGUCCUGCAGAAAGGUGUCUCCCCCGGGGGAAGCAAGCUGAUGCCCAAGCCUGCUCGGGUCUCUGGCUUUCUGGUCUGCUGCCCCAGGCCAAACAUCACCUUCUGUCCCUGCAGUCUUUUCACAGUGGUCUUCACUCUCCUUCCUUGCAUCCCUCCCCGCCGGCCGCCCACAGGGCGCUUUCAGAAGUUGGAGACCCUGUCCUCUUCAGUCGGGUAUUUCCAUAAGCAUCCUUUCUAGUUUUCUGUUACGUUGUGUGUGUGUUACGUGUUUAGCAUUGCAAGGCUGCUUAAUUUCCCUGAUCUCUUAAGUUCUCAAUGGAAAAGGGGUACUUUACUGUUGCCCCAAGUAUUUUCAAUAGGUCCAGCAUGGAAAAGCAUCUGAAUUCAGUGAGUCAUGCAUUAAGUAACCAUCCGUCACCAACUUGUGCCCACCACCUAGCUACCAGGUGACCCGUCCCACAGAGCUGCUGUGACACAUGGGCCAGCUUCAUGGUGCCCCCCAGCUUGUGGCUUCAUCGGGCAGAGCUGAGGGCUCCCACAGCUGCCAUGCAGGCCCAGGAUACCGGCCCAGGCUGGCCGUUCUCGCUCGAGACCCCCGUGAGCGCGCAGUCCAGCUCUUGGCCAGGCCUGCACUUACCUGGCCUGUGGCUGCAGCCACAGGGCUCCCUCCCAGAGUUACUCCCACGGCCCUGGGCUCUGCUCCAUUUGGGCUCCUCUGUGGGGUGGCUCAGUAUGUGGGGCUGGCUCCCCCUUAGGCAAGCGAUCAGGGAGGGGAGAGAGCAGCUAGGACGUUAGAACCUGUCUCAGUGGGGCCACCGCCACUCCCCUCAUCCUGGUGACCACGUCCACCUGCCCUACAGCGUUAGGGUCAUUGCGGGCUGGCCACCUGGGCAGUGAGUGAGCAGCAGAUAGCAGUGUCUUCCUGCAUGAGACACUGCUCAGCCCUGGACAGGAACACGUGACAGAGGGGGCAUGGUUCGGAAACACCGAGACGAGGAGAAAUACGUGCUGUGCGAUUCCAGGUUCUGCUCAGCUCUAGGGAAGACCACAGUAACCUCAGAAAGCAGAUGAGACAUCACAGCAGGCCUGCUUGUCUCCUGCCACCUCCACCUGCAAGAGGCAGACAGCCCCCGUCCUCGGGACUGAAGACGCCAGGACUUAGGGCUGAACUCUCUGAGCACAGGGCCCUCGUGCGUGACUGUUUGCUCCCCGUGACGUCAGGAUUCCUUCUGCCAGGCUCAGCAUCACCCACACACCAGUCUCAGGCCAGAGGAGGUGUGUGCCCAGGGCAGACCUAGCGGACAGCGGUGCCCCUGAGUGGACUCUCUUGGACACAACCUACUGAGCGCUCUGUUGUCCCCAGUGUUGGGCCCUGGCCACCAGCUCUGGAGCAGCUCGGAAAGCCCAUUCAUCUGAGUAUUAAACUAGCUUAAAAGGGACAUCUAGGGACUUCCCUGGCGGUCCAGUGGUUUAGAAUCCACCUUCCGGUGCAGGGAACACAGGUUCCACCCCUGGUUCAGGAACUAAGAUCCCACAUGCUGUGGGGCCAAUUAAUAAAUAAUUUU